AUGAUGACCAGUGCUGGUGUGGUCUAUCCGCUGGUAAGAGAAAUGAUGAAUGCUGGUUCAUCAAGCAUGCCAGUGCACGUUUUACUGGAAAGAUUUACACAGUCAUUUGUGCAGAGGCGUCGCGCUAGAGAGGAGCAAGAGAAUAUUCAAGAGCUUGCGGCAGUUGAGGCUAGCAUAAAUUCGGCGAGUCAUUCAGCUAAUAUUGCUUUUGGCAUGGCGGGGACAGGGGCUUUCGCGGGAACAGAUCCUCAUGAGCAUAAAGAACCUGCACUGUUUGAUUUAAACGAGGCUAUUGAUGCAGAUGAGGAUGGUCCCAAUGCAGCAGGCACUUCAGUUGAUGAUGUUCUCGACAUGGAUACAACAGAGUCACAUGAGCAAAGGCAGCCACCACUCUUCGACUUGAAUGAGGUUAUGGAUAUACAUGAAGAUGAGCUUGCUGAGGUUGGAGACGUUGCUUCCGCAGUCCACCAGUCGCAGCAAGGCCCGAAUCCGGUGGAUGGAGCAGCUGUAGCCACGGACCAGGGAGAUUCGGUGCUGGAUGGUGUGGAACAGACUGAUGGUGUGGCUGCAGACCCAGAGCUUCAAAGUGCACUUGAACCUGAGCCCCCGACAGCCGAGGAACAUGAUAUGGACCGAAUGUUUGGUAAUGGUGAUUAUCCAUCUGUUCGGGAAAUCAUGGAAGCUCCUGCGCCGGAGCCAGGUCUUGAGUUCGAUUCGAGGGACCAAGCAUUCUUCUUUUUCGCCUCAUAUGCCCGGCGUGUGGGUUUUGCGGUAAAAAGGGACACCACAUAUGAGUCGAGGGUUUCAAAGCAGAUAAACAAGCAGUCAUUCAGCUGUAACCGGAGUCGGGCAAAUGCGUGCAACGACUCUGCGCUGAGGAAGAGGAUGACUUCCAGAAUCAACAGGACAAUGUGUCCAGUUAAGAUAAUAGUGAAAGAAGAAUCUGGACGAUGGGUUAUAAAAUCUACAAACCUUGAGCACAAUCAUGAGCUGUCUCCCAGUGAGUGGCUGGUUAGGUUUAUGAAGUGCCACGAAAGGAUGUCUGAAUCUGACAAGGCAUUGAUUGACAUUCUUCAAGAAAGCAGAGUGCCCCCCAGGAAAGUGAUGACCAUAUUCAGGAGGAUGAUGGGGAGCUUCAGAGGAGUACCUUUUGAUGCUAAGUAUCUGAGCAACCGCAAUGCAAAGAAAAGACUUAAACACAAGAACAAAGACAUUGAGGAGCUGCUGAAAAUUUUCAAGAGCGUUGAGGAUAAGAUGCCAGGUUUCAGUUACCAGCUCCAGGUCGACGCACACAACACCGUUAGAAGUGUGUUUUGGACAGAUGAGAUAGGUAGAGCAAACUACAGCCAGUUUGGGCAGUUUGUCUCUUUUGAUACCACCUAUUCCACAAACCAGUACAAUAUGCCAUUUGCCCCUAUGGUUGGCGUGGACAACUAUGGAAAGACUGUCCUGUUUGGUGCGGCAUUGUUAAAGGAUGAGAAGGAAGACACAUUCAGGUGGCUGUUUCGAGCAUUUCUGAGGUCGAUGGGGGGUCUGCACCCGGAAACCAUAAUAACAGACCAGGAUGUCGCAAUGCGGAAUGCUAUACGUGCUGUCAUGUUGCACUCAACCCACCGCUUCUGCAACUGGCACAUCCAGAGGAAAAUGAAACAGAAACUAGUCCCUUUCUUUGCUGCCCGAGGAACUUUGCAUGCAGAGCUCCGGAGCCUAAUCAGGAACUCGUUCACGCCUGAAGAGUUUGAGAGCGGAUGGCACGCUCUGUUGGAGAAGCAUGAUGCUCAGGAUGAAACCCACCUAAAGCGGUUGUUUGAAAUCAGAGAUGAGUGGGUCCCUGCGUACUACAUGGACAAAUUUUUCCCAUUCACGUCAUCAACUGGGAGGAGCGAGAGCACCAACUCUCUGUUCAAAGGCUACGUCCUCCGAAAGGACUCGAUUGCGACGUUUUUCAACCAGUACCAGAUUGUUCAGGAAAAGAAGCAUAGCGACCUUGAUCGACUGAGAGAGAAAUCAGAACUGAGAGAACAACGUUACUGGAGUUACGACCCUAUGGAAAGAGAGGCUGCAAAGAUAUACACACCACCAAUAUACGCCAAAUUUGUGGAAGAGAUGAAAAAAACCACAGCUUACAGAGUUGAGGUCGUUGCUGCUGCUGGUGAAACAAGAACAUUUCUGGUGACAAGGCGUGGCGAAUACCAGGACGCAGAGUUUUCAAAGAGGAUAUACACUGUGUCAAUAUCACCUGAUGAUGUCUACCGCUGCUCAUGUUCCAAGUUCAAUCGGGACGGGUUGCAUUGCUGCCACGUCCUAGCGGUAGCAAGACACAUUGGGUUGAGUAGCCUCCCUGAAAGCUUUAUAAAUCCUAGGUGGACAGUAGCUGCAGGGCAUGUGUUAGCUAUGAUGACCGAUGGAAAUGUUGGUCAAAAUGGACAGAGAACACACUUGACAGUCAGGCAUUCUAUAGUCAUGAGCCAGGUGUCGGACGCAUUGUCAAACGAAUGCACGGACGACAGGUCGUACGACCUGUUCGUGGAAGGAAUUGGUGAGGCAAUAAACAAAGUCAGGUUAGACAAGCGGCUCCGCCAAGAACAACAACUCUCAGGUGGGAAGCGACGGUGUAUUGAUGAUCCUCAGCAACUGAAUGUUGAUGCCAGGCAGGAGGGGGAUGGCGACCUGCAUAUCCCUACGCAGGUGCAUCGAAACGUUGUGUCUACCAUUGGUGCGUCUAGCAUGGGUGGAGUUGAGGUGCAUCAAACAUUUAGUUUGAGAGACCCCCCGCUGUCACGCACAAAAGGUUUCAACCUUGGUGAUAGGCCAAAGUCCAUGUAUGAAAAGGCUUCUGAUAAGCUUAAGAAACAAAAAGCAGUAAGGAAGUGUUCCAAGUGCAGGCUGCCAGGCCAUAAAAAGCCACAAUGCCCCCAAAAUAACCAGGCGACAUAA
rnacentral:rRNA from 1 species